rnacentral:rRNA from 1 species
AUUGAACGCUGGCGGCAUGCCUUACACAUGCAAGUCGAACGGCAGCGGGCCUUCGGGUGCCGGCGAGUGGCGAACGGGUGAGUAAUGCUAUCGGAACGUGCCAUUGAGUGGGGGAUAACGUAGCGAAAGUUGCGCUAAUACCGCAUAUUCUGUGAAGCAGGAAAGCAGGGGACCGCAAGGCCUUGCGCUCUUUGAGCGGCCGAUGUCAGAUUAGCUAGUUGGUGAGGUAAAGGCUUACCUAAGGCGACGAUCUGUAGCGGGUCUGAGAGGAUGAUCCGCCACACUGGAACUGAGACACGGUCC